rnacentral:lncRNA from 1 species
AAGAAGCUGGACAUAGCUAGUAUAGAACUACUCUGAAUAUAUGUGGUAUUUUAUAAUAAUGAAGCAAGAAUGCUAUUUUACAUAAUUAUGGUUAGUGGAAUACCAGUGUGGUAGAUUAAGAGGACAAGACCAUUGGAAUAAAAAGGUAAAGAUAUUUUAAAGGACUUGCACUUGAAGAAGUAUAAAGGAUAACUGAAUCAUAAAGACAUAAGUGAUAAAGCCAGUGUUAGAGGAAGCUGUGGCAUGAUGACUUUCUUCCUACUCUGAUUUUUCAGAAUACUUUACAUUCUGAAUUGAAGAUCGAAAAUCUGCUCCACGUAAAACAUAAUAGAAAUUUAUCAAAGGCAUGUAUUCUCCAAAAUUGUUGUUUAAAAUAUGGAAACAAGAACCUCAAACUGCUUAAAGCAAUUACUCUGUAAAGUAUAUCACAGAAAAGAUAUUCUAGUAUUUUUCAAGAUAUAGCAAUAGAUUUCCUCUUUAUAUUCAUUUAGGUACAUUUUUGAAAGCAUUUGUCAUUCUUUUAUCUUUCAACAAGCAUGGUUCUGUUUCUGGCCCUAAUGAUGUGGUGGGUUAAAAGUGAUGUUUUAUUAAAAAAAAAAAAGUUGGUUAUGAGGUGAAAACUGGAAAUUAAGAGGUUUUUGAAGUUGUCAUUUGAUAUUACAUGCAGCUCAGUUUUGAUUCAUAUAUAUUUC